AUGCUGCUUCUGCUCCUACACCACCAUCAUCUGGAAGAAGAGGAGCUGGCAGAGGAAGAGCUGCUACUACUUCUACUACUCCACCACCAUCUGGAAGAGGAGCUGGCAGAGGAAGAGCUGCUGCUACUUCUACUACCCCGUUCGUCCGCAGCAGCAGCGUCAACUCCACCAGGACCGAGGAGGGCGCGUCGGCAGCGUCAGGGAGGUUCACCUGCCCCGGCGGCCACGGCCACGGUCGGCGCCCACGAGCGGCCGCAUUGCAAGAAAGUCGCUCCGACGACGACAACCGCAGCUGGUAGCAACAGCAACGGCAACAGCGGUGGCGGUGCGAGAUCGGUUUACUACUACGGGUACGGAGGCGGCAGGAGCGGCAGCGACGGCCAUGGUGGCGGCGGGGUCCAGGUGAGCCCGGUGCUGAAUGUGACGUCCAUCGGCACGAGCGUGGUGAACAUGCUGAGCCACCUGCUGUGCGACUGUAGCGAGAAGGCCCCCAAGCAGCAGAGUAGGGGCUUCGGAGUGCGCUGCUGGGUAACCAGGUAG
rnacentral:rRNA from 1 species